rnacentral:rRNA from 1 species
UUUAGCCAUGCGAGUCGCGAGAAAUUAGAUUCUCGGCGUACCGCUCAGUAACACGUGGGUAACCUGCCCUAUGCUGGAUAAUGACCUCGGGAAACUGAGUAUAAUGAUCCAUAGUUCACUACGCCUGGAACGGUGAGUGGACGAAAGCUCCGGCGGCAUAGGAUGGGCCUGCGGCGUAUCAGGUUGUAGGGGGUGUAACGUACCCUCUAGCCCUCUACGCGUACGGGUGUUGGGAGACAUAGCCCGGAGAUGGAUUCUGAGACACGAAUCCAGACCCUACGGGGUGCAGCAGGCGCGAAAACUUGGCAAUGCGAGAAAUCGUGACCAGGGAACUCCAAGUGCAUCGGGUAAGACCGGUGCUUUUCUUGACUCUAAAUAGGUCUUGGAAUAAGGGGUGGGUAAGGACGGUGCCAGCCGCCGCGGUAAUACCGGCGCCUCAAGUGGUAGUCGCUUUUAUUGGGCCUAAAACGUCCGUAGCCGGUCUGAUACAUUCGUGGGUAAAUCAACCAGCUCAACUGGUUGAAUUCUGCGAGGACGGUCAGACUUGGGACCGGGAGAGGUGUGGGGUACGCUCAGGGUAGGGGUAAAAUCCUGUCAUCCUGAGCGGACCACCUGUUGCGAAGGCGCCACACUAGAACGGAUCCGACGGUCAGGGACGAAGCCUAGGGGCACGAACCGGAUUAGAUACCCGGGUAGUCCUAGGUGUAAACGCUGUGGACUUGAUGUUGGGGGUGCUCCGAGCACUCUCAGUGUCGAAGCGAAGGUGAUAAGUCCACUGCCUGGGAAGUACGGUCGCAAGGCUGAAACUUAAAGGAAUUGGCGGGGGAGCAC